ACAUCAUUAACAUCAACAUAAACGGUGGCGGUGGGGGUGGGGGUCAAACAGCUGCAGUCUCGAGUCUCGUUAACAAUCGGGCAACCGUCCAAUCACGUGCAGACUUACUAAUCCCUCUCUGUGUACGAGCCAAUCUCACGCUGAUUUACUAAUCUGCUCUCCACAUAAAGAUUGAGGUCAGAGUGUGGUCACAUGGGCUUAAAUCUGAGACACACACACACAGGUGGCACGUGCUUAAGUGUCUUUGUCACCCUUUCACAUAAACACAAACAGUAAACUGGCAAGUGAUGGGGCCAACAUGGCCGACACAGGAAGUGUCCACACCUGUGCACAGGUGAACAAAAACUGCUUCUCGUCUUUCAAAAAUAUGAGAAGGUAUCUUUUUUUCUAUUUUUAAAUCAAUAUUUUUACAAUUUUUCUUUACACAAACUUUUUCCUGCUAAACUAACAACAUUCCCAUCAGCCUCAGCUGUAGUUUGUGUUUACUGCUAAUGUAGAGCUGCAUCUGUCGUUUGCUUUUCCCUCUUCCCCCUUUUCCUGUCGUCCUCACCACAUUUUCAUCUCGACUGCCACUGAAUGUUUUCACUCUUUAUCUCCAUUUCUCUGUGUGUGUGUGACACACACCCACACAUUCCAGCCGCCCCUGAUGAAGCAGUGUGAGCUCAUUAGUUAAUUACAUAACUGUGAUAAUGAGAUUACAGUGCAGAGGGGAGAUGAAUGGGGACAACAGACUCAUGCAGCCACCUGAAAUUGAAGAGUUUUUCUCACUUUUAACAUUGAGUGAAAAGCAGCAGACGUACGACGGCCAUGAAACGUGCAGAGGCGUCGCCUCCUCAGUUAUCUAGGAAUGAACCUUCAAGGUUUAGUGAUGAAGGAUUGUGUGUGUUUGUGCACUUACAGGACAGAAGUAUGUGUUCUCGCUGAUGUGCUGGGCGACUCGAGGCUCAGAGGCCGACAGAGACAUGAUGAGCAGCAGAGCGUCUCUGGCCUGCUGCCCAACCAAACCCUGUCUGAGGCAGAGAGGGAUAAUAAAGGGAGAAGAGGAGGAAGUUGGCGGCUCCCUGGUCCUCACUGGUGUGGAAGAACAGUUCCAGCACUGACGGAUCUUUGACCAGAGCCACGCACAGCUGGUUCAACAGGAGGACCAGCUCCGCCUCCACCACCCCGCCGCUGUCUGCAGAGGGGACGCAGGUGCUUAGCUAACCAGGAAGAGCAUGUGUUCCACGUAGUUCUGGACGGCGCUGGCUUCGUCUGCCGGGAUGGGGCCGAGGCGUAACGCUCCAGAGCCGCCACUGCUGCUGCUGGCAUAACCAGAGAGGAAACUCAGCGCACC